rnacentral:rRNA from 1 species
UGCGGUUAAAAAGCUCGUAGUUGGAUUUCUUCCAGGGGCAGUCGGUCCACACUACGUGUGCGUAUCUGAUUUGACUUUGGAAUCCUCUUGGGGAACAUCUCUGCGCUUAACUGCGUGGAAUGGUAUUCAAGACUUUUAUUUUGAGGAAAUUAGAGUGUUCACGGCAGGCAAUCGCCCUGAAUACAUUAGCAUGGAAUAAUAAUAUAGGACUUUGGUUCUAUUUUGUUGGUUUCUAGAGCUAAAGUAAUGAUUAAUAGGGACGCUUGGGGGCAUUCGUAUUAUCACGUCAGAGGUGGAAUUCUUGGAUUGUGUUACGACGAACUACUGCGAAAGCAUUUGCCAAGGAUGUUUUCAUUGAUCAAGAACGAAAGUAAGGGGAUCGAAGACGCUUAGAUACCGUCGUAGUCUUUACCAUAAACUAUGCCAACUAGGGAUUGGAGGGCGUUCUUCAUUCGACUCCUUCAGCACCUUAUGAGAAAUCAAAGUUUUUGGGUUCCGGGGGGAGUAUGGUCGCAAGGCUGGAACUUAAAGGAAUUGACGGAAGGGCACCACC